UUAGUUACUGUUUGCCGUUCAUUUGUCUGGUGGUUGAGUUCGUCAGUCAUUGAAACAGUUGAGUCCUAAUUUUUGUAGUCGUACUACAAAGGAUUUUUCUCUGAUGCGAGAACUUACUUUAGUAUUCUGCAUGAAAUACAUUAUAGAUUCGUCCGCUGCAAGAUUAUGGUGCCUGAGUGUGGCAGAGAGGAAAGGGAACUCGAUCGGUGCGGUGUCGGAGCUCCUCGCGUGGGGCACACGUGCCGAUGUUAAUGCUGUGUACCGGAGGUGGUAAAGUAGAGGCACACGGUGUAAUACUGGCUGCCAGAAACCCUGUUGUCACAGCUGUGCUGGUGUGGCAUGACACAGCAGAAACUGCCAGUGACUGUGUCCACAUACUGGACAUAGAGACCACCGCUGUGAACCACCUUGUCCGUUACGUGUCUGUGGUACAACUAUUGGCAGCUGCAGACAAAUAUGACCCCCAUCUCCUAAAGGAGCCUCGUAAAGACAGUACUUGGUUGUAAUGGCCAACAAACUAGCAAAUGUCUGAAUGAUG